CUGCCGCCAUUUUGUGGAGCCGAGCAGGCCCGGCGGCGGCCUGGCCCGUCAGGCCUAGGGAGGCGGGACGCGGCGGCGCAGGUUGGAAUAGCUCAUAAUUAACAUUAUUAUCUGCAAAUGCAGUGGAAGAUGGCAAGACUGAAGAUGGGCAGGGUAUUCUACAACUUAAUGUACGAGGAUGUUUAUACACUGCCAGGCGCGAGUCUUUAUGCCGCUUUAAGGAUUCAGUGCUAGCUUCCAUGUUUAGUGGACGCUUUCCUCUGAAAAUGGAUGAAUCUGGUAACUAUGUUCAAGCUACACAUAAAACAUUCUGACUGGAGAGCUCAUUUCUUUUUAAAUUUUCCAAACUUGUCUUCAUUUUGUGUCCUUGUUUGUUAUGGUCGGGUUUUUUGUUGUUGGUACUGCUGUUGAAACAAAGUAAAUACAGCUGGCCUCAAGUGUUGAGAAGUCCUAUCACAUUGCCAAAAUGAAAUGUUCUUAAAAUUCCUGAGACUAUUAGAAUUACGGGAGGGUUAUUUAAGUGUUUUAUUUUUACAGUCAUUUAGAAUAAAUCACAGUUCCAGGCUUUUCAUCAUAA